AAUUACUAAAACACAGUUUAUCAACAGCGGUGCGACCGGCAGCGGAAGCGUGGCUGUCGAAGUGGACUAACAGCUAAGCUAAACGCUAACCCCCACAGAUCACCGCUUCCGUCCAUCUUCCUCUCCAACGUCCGCUCUCCGGACAACAAAAUAGACCAUCUGCAACUGGAACUGUCUUCAAAGAGAGAGUUGAGGAACUGCUGGGCUCUUAUUCUGACGGAGACAUGGCUCAACUCGUCCAUACCGGACAACGUUGUUAGCCUGGAGGGGCUCGCUACAUUCUGCGCAGACAGGAGCAGCGCUCUCAGCGGUAAAACCCGAGGAGGGGGGCUGUGUAUUUACAUCAACAACAACUGGUGUAAAAAUG